UUUCUUCUUCAUUUCUCUUAUCUUUCCUUCUCAUGCUCUUCUUUCUCCGGCGAGUUUGAGAAUCAAAUAGAGAUUCUGAAGUUUUUGUAUGAGGCGAAAGGUCAAGGUAGGGUUGGUGAUGGUGAAGCUCGUUGUGUAAAGAAGAAAGGAAUUAGAGGAAGUGAAGUGAGGGUUUGGAUGAAAAGCGCAGAGAAAAAAUAGAUGAUGAAAUUGAUGUCUAGGAAAGACCAUUUGAGAGGUGAAUUGGGGUGUUGUUAGUUGAAGAACAACAGGGUUGUAGCUGAAUUAAUAAUCUGAAGUGGUUUUGAUGUGAACUGAAGAGUUAGGGUUUCCUCUGAUAAUCGAUGUGAGUGAAGAUGAUUAUGAGACUCAGAUCGAGAUAGAAGAAGAGUAGAGCUAGUUUUAGUUGGUGGUGGUGGUGUUGAUUCAGACGGCUGAUACAGAACCUGCAGAAAAAGGUAAUUUGAGAAUUAAAAUUUAAGAGUUUUUCCGAUGAAUUAGUAAAUUGGGAUUUUGGUUAUUCAAGUUUGAUUGUUUGUAGAGAUGGCUGGUAAUUGAGUUGUUGAUAGACAAAGAAUGACGGGUUGUGUUCAAUUGAAGUUAUGGAUUCGAUUUGAGUUAGAUGAAUUCAUUAGUAAGGUUCAAACAAGAAGCAGAUUUAUGAGGUUUGUCCAAGUUGGUGUUGGAGUUAAAUUAGUGUGGAACUGAAUGUGAAUUGCAUGUGGGUAUAGUUGGUGUUGAUGAAGUGGUAAAACAGGGAAUUGUUGUGAUGCAGGUGUUGGUGUUUAAAUUGGAGAUUGUUGUAAGCUGAAUUGGUAGUGGUGGCUGUGUAUGAUUGUCUUAUAGUUAGUGGUGCAGGUAGUAUGUACUGGACAUAUAAGAGGAUAUGGUAGUGUUUGUAUGUGAUGGGAAGAACUGGGGGUUUGUUUUAUUGCAGCUGGUGAUGGUGGCUAUAGAUGAAUGCUUAAGGCUUUGCAGAACUUGUUUAGCUCAUAUGGUUGCAGUAAAUGAGCCUGGUGGUAAUGUAGCUAAAGAACUAGAAUUGCAGGUGGUGUGCAGUGGCAGAUGAGAUUGGAGAUACAUAUGUAAAUUAGGGAUCCGGUGGUUGUGUUAAACUGAUUUGUAGUAGAAACAUCUUGUUUGGUUACAACUGCUGAAGUUGGAUGUAUACUGUAGAGAGUUGAGGCAUUGAAUUAAGGUGAAUUUUAAGUAAACUGAGAUGGUAAUGAACUGAGUUGAGAUGUUGUGGUUGAGGUUGAGUCUAAACUAAGAAGUAAGAGGAAGUUGAAUUGAGAAUGUGUUGGUAGAAUGAAGAAAGGUUGGAAUGGUGAUUAGAGUUGUAAAUAAUGGUUGCUGUGAAAGCCUUGAACUGCUUUGCAGUUAGUCUUAUUAACAACGAUCGAUUCAAAGGAUGAACCAGUGGAUCGUGGAUCUCGAGGUAGGCGUGGCUUGUCAUCAAAAGAGUUUCAGAGACAGAUCAGAGUUGUGCAUCGAAAGAUUCAAGCGUUGACUUCGUUAGUUGGUUAACUUCUGCUAUGUUUGUUAUGUUGUAUAUUCUAUUUGUAAACCAAAUGACUAUUGUAUAUGUAUCAUUUGAGAGGAGUUCUUGUAUAUUUAUAUUUCUGAGCGGGGCUAGUUUUUGGGUUAAGUUUUGUAGCAGAUUUCUUAAUUGAAUGUUUAAGUAUAUGAUUGGAUCA